AGGACGAACGCUGGCGGCGUGCUUAACACAUGCAAGUCGAACGGUAAGGCCCCUUCGGGGGUACACGAGUGGCGAACGGGUGAGUAACACGUGAGCAACCUGCCCUUGACUUCGGAAUACCAGUUGGAAACAGCUGCUAAUACCGGAUAUGACCUCUUCCUUCCUGGGUUGAGGUGGAAAGCUCCGGCGGUCAAGGAUGGGCUCGCGGCCUAUCAGCUUGUUGGUGAGGUAAUGGCUCACCAAGGCUUCGACGGGUAGCCGGCCUGAGAGGGCGACCGGCCACACUGGGACUGAGAUACGGCCCAGACUCCUACGGGAGGCAGCAGUGGGGAAUAUUGCACAAUGGGCGCAAGCCUGAUGCAGCAACGCCGCGUGCGGGAUGACGGCCUUCGGGUUGUAACCGCUUUCAGUAGGGACGAAGCUAACGUGACGGUACCUACAGAAGAAGGACCGGCUAACUACGCGCCAGCAGCCGCGUAA
rnacentral:rRNA from 1 species